CCGCCGCGCCGGCAGAGGGCGCCGCAGGGCCGCGCCGCCACCCGCCCGCUUGCCGCGGGGCUCUGGACCCGGCCGCCGCCGCCCUGAGGGAGCGCGGUCCGGAAAAGCGGCUUUCCGUGUCCUGGAAGCACGGAUCCCUAGGGAGCCGGGUGUGACACAGCCCAGCGGCUCUGGGAAGCCUGCCUCCUCCGAUGGCAAAUUUCAUAAAUAUCGGUUCCCUCAGCGCCCGGUCCUGGCGCUAAGGAGAGUGCUCCUUUAAGCCAGAACAAGUUGGUCACCAGCCACCACUAACCGUAAAGCACAUGAACUGCCUUCCUGCACUAGCAGCCCUCACCUCCAGCCCGCUGGCUGAAAUUACUGGUUUCCUCAGACAGAGAGCAGCAUCUGCAGAUCACAGCUUCAGCCUCCAGAGGUCAGCUUUAUAGCCUUCAAGUUGUUCUGAAGCCCUGCCUGAUUAGACGUACUCUGGAGUGACUUUCAUUCUGAUCAAAUGUGAUGUGCUGGCAAUGCGCAUACAAAGCUGGCAGAGCAGCCGUGCAGCAAAGCCUGAAGCAGGCAGGAGUUGGUGCAACAUCUAAUUUGAAACAAGGCAUGGCUCCCCAGAAAGGAAAGAAGUGUCCCCAUUGAAAAGGCUCUGAUGAACUCAAGGACAGACAUGUUGUUGUGACAAUUUCAAACCUUGCAGAGAAUAAAACUGCUUCUAUCCAGCUUCUCCUCA